CUAUAUGCAGUGGACCAGGAUGGCAAGGGCUCUUGUGAAAGGGCAGUAGAGCCUUGCCAUCCUGGUCCACUGCAUAUAG
ensembl:miRNA